UGGGACAGCAUUCGGCACGGAGAAAAAGAAGCAGGAGAAGAGAAUACGUCAUAAUAUUGAGAGAAAACGGGACGCGGACGCUUUGAAACACUGGUGCCGUGUGCAUUGCGGAUGAAGAAGCGCAGCAGUGUGCUGGAGAUGAUGUUGGAGAUGCUGUAGUGCUGUGGACGAGAUCCUGAGAGACGUUGCUGUGGUCUCUUCAUCUUCAAAAUCGGUUUCUCAGGCAUGGACAGCUUCAUGUCUCAACCCCGUUUUAGUCUCACUGCAUAAGGGAUGAUGCUGAUGAUGAUGACAAACACAGAUAAAGACCUGAUGAUCAUCUGCAGAACCAGCUCGGAGAUGCAGCAGAACAUGCAGUUAGAGCAAGUUUGAAUAAAGCUUUAAUUGUUUCAUGUGUUGUGGACUUAUUUGUCUUGGUUAUUUUUAUUCAUUCUUUUAAUCAUAUAUUAAUGUUUCCUUUUAUGGUCAAUAAAUGAAAUGAUAA